rnacentral:SRP_RNA from 1 species
GCCGGGCACGGUGGUGCAUGCCUGUAGUCCCAGCUUAGGGAGGCUGAGGUGGGAGGAUCGCUUGAUCCCAGGAGUUCUGGGCUGUAGUACGCUAUGCUGAUCAGGUGUCCACACUAAGUUCGGCAUCAAUAUGGUGACUUCCCUGGAGCAGGGGACCACCAGGUUGCCUAAGGAGGGGUGAACCGGCCCAGGUCGGAAAUGGAGCAGGUCAAAACUCCUGUGCUGAUCAGUAGUGGAAUUGCGCCUGUGAAUAGCCACUGCACUCCAGCCUGGGCAACAUAGUGAGACCCUGUCUCUA